rnacentral:ncRNA from 1 species
AUUAUGUUUGUUAGUCAGAAUUGAAAAAAAAAGUUUUAUUUUUGUUUUUAAAUUAAAUAGAAUUUGGUAUUUAUAUGUAAAUAUUUGUAUGAUAAGCAAUAAAAUUUUAAAAAUUAUGAAAAAUAAAUAUUCGCAAUAGAUAAUUUUAAUUAUUAAUGAAAAUUAGAUUUAAGACAAAAUUCUUUGUAUUAACAAAUUUUGUGCCAGCAGUUGCGGUUAUACAAAAAAUGCAAUUUAAUUAAUUUUAGGAUUAAUAUAUUUAUUUUAUAGAAAAUUUAAGUUAAGAUUUUUUAGGUGAAAUUUAAAAUUUUUAAAUAAUUUGAAAUUAAGGGGUAAGAAAUUAUUUAAUAAAUUUAAGGAUAGACUAGGAUUAGAUACCCUAUUAUUUUGAAUGUAAAUGUAACCUAGACCGGUAGGAGUUAAAUUUUUGAAAAUUAAAGAAUUUGGCGGUUUUUUAGUCUAUUCAGAGGAACCUGUUCUGUAAUCGAUAAUCCACGAUUUAAUUAUCUUUAUUUAUUAGUUUGUAUAUCGUUGUAGUCGGAAUAUUUUAGAAGAAUUUUAAUAUUCAGAAAUUAUUUUAUAAAAAAAAUCAGAUCAAGGUAUAGCUUAUAGUAAAGUAAAAAUGGGUUACAUUUAUUUUAAUAAAGGAGUGAAAAUUGUAAAUUUAUAUGAAUUUGGAUUUGGAAGUAAUUUUUUUUAAAUUAUAAAAAUGAUAAAAGCUCUAAAAUAUGUACAUAUCGCCCGUCGCUUUCACCUUAAAGUGAAAUAAGUCGUAACAAAGUAGACUUACUGGAAAGUGUGUCUGGAAUGUU